GAUGAACGCUAGCGGCAGGCUUAAUACAUGCAAGUCGUGGGGCAGCAUGAGUAGCAAUACUUGAUGGCGACCGGCAAACGGGUGAGGAACACGUACACAACCUUCCUUCAAGCGGGGAAUAGCCCAGAGAAAUUUGGAUUAAUACCCCAUAAAUAUAUUUGAUAAGGGCAUCUUAUUAAUAUUAAAGCUUCGGCACUUGAUGAUGGGUGUGCGGCUGAUUAGAUAGUUGGCGGGGUAACGGCCCACCAAGUCUACGAUCAGUAGCUGAUGUGAGAGCAUGAUCAGCCACACGGGCACUGAGACACGGGGCCCGACUCCUACGGGAGGCAGCAGUAAGGAAUAUUGGACAAUGGACGAAAGUCUGAUCCAGCCACGCCGCGUGAAGGAUUAAGGUCCUCUGGAUUGUAAACUUCUUUUAUAUGGGACGAAAAAGGGCAUUCUUGUUCACUUGACGGUACCAUAUGAAUAAGCACCGGCUAACUCCGUGCCAGCAG
rnacentral:rRNA from 1 species